rnacentral:rRNA from 1 species
CAGUCGCCGCGGGAAUACCAGCAGCCCAAGUGGUGGUCGCGUUUAUUGGGCCUAAAGCGCUCGUAGCCUGGCCGGUAAGUUCCCCGUGAAAUCGGGUCGCCCAACGAUUCGGCUCGCGGGGAAUACUGUCGGUCUUGGGGCCGGGAGACGCCGAGGGUACUCCGGGGGUAGCGGUGAAAUGCUGUAAUCCUCGGGGGACUACCAGUGGCGAAGGCGCUCGGCGAUAACGGGCCUGACGGUGAGGGGCGAAAGCUGGGGGCGCGAACGGGAUUAGAGACCCCUGUAGUCCCUGUCUCUUAUA